rnacentral:rRNA from 1 species
GAUGAACGCUGGCGGCGUGCCUAAUACAUGCAAGUCGAGCGAACAGACGAGGAGCUUGCUCCUCUGACGUUAGCGGCGGACGGGUGAGUAACACGUGGAUAACCUACCUAUAAGACUGGGAUAACUUCGGGAAACCGGAGCUAAUACCGGAUAAUAUAUUGAACGGCAUGGUUCAAUAGUGAAAGACGGUUUUGCUGUCACUUAUAGAUGGAUCCGCGCCGCAUUAGCUAGUUGGUAAGGUAACGGCUUACCAAGGCAACGAUGCGUAGCCGACCUGAGAGGGUGAUCGGCCACACUGGAACUGAGACACGGUCCAGACUCCUACGGGAGGCAGCAGUAGGGAAUCUUCCGCAAUGGGCGAAAGCCUGACGGAGCCACGCCGCGUGAGUGAUGAAGGUCUUCGGAUCGUAAAACUCUGUUAUUAGGGAAGAACAAAUGUGUAAGUAACUAUGCACGUCUUGACGGUACCUAAUCAGAAAGCCACGGCUAACUACGUG